GCUGCAUUGGCCAAGCGGUACGGCGUCCGUUUCCUACUUAAGGAGUAAGCGGAAGAUCGCGGGUUCGACCCCCGCAUGCGGUU
rfam:Trichosporon asahii var. asahii CBS 8904 unplaced genomic scaffold scaffold00049, whole genome shotgun sequence.